rnacentral:rRNA from 1 species
UACGUAGGGGGCAAGCGUUGUCCGGAAUCAUUGGGCGUAAAGAGCGUGUAGGCGGCCCGAUAAGUCCGCUGUGAAAGUCCAGGGCUCAACCCUGGAAUGCCGGUGGAUACUGUCGGGCUCGAAUCCGGAAGAGGUGAGUGGAAUUCCUGGUGUAGCGGUGAAAUGCGCAGAUAUCAGGAGGAACACCAGUGGCGAAGGCGGCACUCUGGGCCGGUACUGACGCUGAGGAGCGAAAGCGUGGGGAGCGAACAGG